UACGUAGGGUGCAGGCGUUAAUCGGAAUUACUGGGCGUAAAGCGUGCGCAGGCGGUCUCUUAAGACAGGUGUGAAAUCCCCGGGCUUAACCUGGGAACUGCGCUUGUAACUGAGAGGCUUGAGUGUGCCAGAGGGGGGGUGGAAUUCCACGUGUAGCAGUGAAAUGCGUAGAGAAUGUGGAGGAACACGAUGGCGAAGGCAGCCCCCUGGGGUAACACUGACGCUCGAUGCACGAAAGCG
rnacentral:rRNA from 1 species